rnacentral:rRNA from 1 species
AAUGAACGCUGGCGGCAUGCCUAACACAUGCAAGUCGAACGACACCUCCGGGCAUGGUGGCGCACGGGUGCGUAACGCGGGGGAAUCUGCCUUUCGGCUCGGAAUAACUCAGGGAAACUUGAGCUAAUACCGGGUAACGUCCCAAGACCAAACAUUUGUCCACGACGGAUGAGCCCACGUAGUAUUAGCUAGUUGGUGAGGUAAGGGCUUAUCAAGGCGUCGAUCCUUAGCUGGUCUGAGAGGCGGAUAAGCCACACUGGGACUGAGAAACGGCCCAGACACCUACGGGAGGCAGCAGCCGGGAAUCUUACGCGAGGGGGGAAAGCCUGAUAGAGGAAUACGGCGUGAGGGAUGAAGGAGUUAGGCUUGUAAAGUGCUUUUGUUCGGAAAGAAAUAAAGCGCGUUUAUACCGGGAGGUAAUGACGGUACCGGAAGAAUAAGCACCGGCUAACUCCGUG